rnacentral:lncRNA from 12 species
GUCAGAAUCCCGCCCAGGCGGAACGAUACGGCAGCGCCGCGGAGCCUCGGUUGGCCUCGGAUAGCCGGUCCCCCGCCGUCCCCGCCGGCGGGCCGCCGCGCGCGCCCCGCGUGGCGCGGCGUGCCCCGCCGCGCGUCGGGACCGGGGUCCGGUGCGGAGAGCCCCUCGUCCCGGGAAACGGGGCGCGGCCGGAAAGGGGGCCGCCCCCUCGCCCGUCACGCAACGCACGUUCGUGGGGAACCUGGUGCUAAACCAUUCGUAGACGACCUGCUUCUGGGUCGGGGUUUCGUACGUAGCAGAGCAGCUCCCUCGCUGCGAUCUAUUGAAAGUCAGCCCUCGACACAAGGGUUUGUCCGGUCCGGUCCGGUCCGGUCCUGUCCGGUCCUGUCCUCUUCCUCCGUCCCCCCGGCGUCCCGCCGCCCCUGCCGCGGCGGGAGACGGGGCCCGGGCGGAGCGGAGCGGGGCGGGGCAGGGCAGGGGGGUUGGGGGCUCGCCGCAGCCUUCCCAUCCCAUCCCAUCCCAUCCGCGUCCGUCGCUCCAUCCUUCCUCUCCCGGGCCCGCUUCCCGGCGAGGCGAAGGGUGGGGGGGGGGUGCGCUCACCCCGCCGCUCGGCGCCUGGGGCGUCGGGGCGCCCGGCACGCUGACCCCCUCCUUCCCCGCCGGGGCGCUCGCCCCGGGCUGGGACGGGGAAGGGGGGGAGAGCCGGGGGGCCUCGGCCCGACAGGCGCUUGGACGUCGCCGGGGGCGGCCGCGCGGACCCCCCCUCCCAGAGGGGCCCGCGAGGUCGGAGGGCGCGCGCGCGCGCGCGCCCUUGCGCCUCCUUCCCUCCUUCCCUCCUUCCCUCCUGGUGGAUCCGGUCGACCAGCUGUCCCCGCGGUCCCCGCGGUCCCGCGGCGGCCGCCCGCCCGCCCGGGUCGACCAGCACCCCCGCGGUCCCACGGUCCCGGGUCGACCAGCACCCCGUUGGCGCCGCCUCGCCUCGGCGACUACCCGGGCGGCGGAGGCCGGGCCUCUCGCCCUCUCGCGGUGCGACCAGCCGACCUGGUCUCCCGCCCCGCCCCGCCCGCUUCCGCCAGCCACACGGCGCGCCCGUGUCUCCGCCCCUCCGCGGGUCGACCAGCAAGCCGUUCCCUCGCGCCCGCCUCCAUUCCCCGUGCGGGGGACUUGAGUGGUUUGUGCCACCGCCACCGGUGUUUCAUACCCAGCGAUUCCCCCGGUCUCGCCCUUGAUCCUCCUUUAUGGAUCUAUUCGUGA